rnacentral:piRNA from 2 species
UGGUAUUGCAGUACCUCCAGGAACGGUG